rnacentral:pre_miRNA from 1 species
UAUAUACUCCCUCCGUUCGGAAUUACUUGUCGCAGAAAUGGAUGUAUCUAGACGUAUUUUAGUUCUAGAUACAUCCAUUUUUGAGACAAGUAAUUUCGAACGGAGGGAGUACUCU